UACGGAGGGUGCGAGCGUUAAUCGGAAUUACUGGGCGUAAAGCGCGCGUAGGCGGUUUGUUAAGUCAGCUGUGAAAGCCCCGGGCUCAACCUGGGAACUGCAGUUGAUACUGGCCGACUGGAGUACGAGAGAGGGAGGUAGAAUUCCAUGUGUAGCGGUGAAAUGCGUAGAUAUAUGGAGGAAUACCGGUGGCGAAGGCGGCCUCCUGGCUCGAUACUGACGCUGAGGUGCGAAAGCGUGGGGAUCAAACAGG
rnacentral:rRNA from 2 species